AACCCAUGAUGAGGGCACCGUCUCAAUAGAUCCUUGCAUCUUUCGCAUGCAUCUUAUAAAGUCUCUAAAUCGAUCUGAACAAAGGAAGAGAUUUCAUUCCUCAACUU
rfam:Gossypium raimondii Chr11_contig_596, whole genome shotgun sequence.